rnacentral:misc_RNA from 1 species
UUACUGAGUUUACGCUCUACAACCCUUUGUGAACAUACCUAUAACUGUUGCUUCGGCGGGUAGGGUCUCCGUGACCCUCCCGGCCUCCCGCCCCCGGGCGGGUCGGCGCCCGCCGGAGGAUAACCAAACUCUGAUUUAACGACGUUUCUUCUGAGUGGUACAAGCAAAUAAUCAAAACUUUUAACAACGGAUCUCUUGGUUCUGGCAUCGAUGAAGAACGCAGCGAAAUGCGAUAAGUAAUGUGAAUKGCAGAAUUCAGUGAAUCAUCGAAUCUUUGAACGCACAUUGCGCCCGCCAGCAUUCUGGCGGGCAUGCCUGUUCGAGCGUCAUUUCAACCCUCAAGCUCUGCUUGGUGUUGGGGCCCUACAGCUGAUGUAGGCCCUCAAAGGUAGUGGCGGACCCUCCCGGAGCCUCCUUUGCGUAGUAACUUUACGUCUCGCACUGGGAUCCGGAGGGACUCUUGCCGUAAAACCCCCAAUUUUCCAAAGGUUGACCUCGGAUCAGGUAGGAAUACCCGCUGAACUUAAGCAUAUCAAUAAGCGGAGGAAAAGAAACCAACAGGGAUUGCCUCAGUAACGGCGAGUGAAGCGGCAACAGCUCAAAUUUGAAAUCUGGCCCUAGGCCCGAGUUGUAAUUUGCAGAGGAUGCUUUUGGUGCGGUGCCUUCCAAGUUCCCUAGAACGGGACGCCAGAGAGGGUGAGAGCCCCGUACAGUUGGACACCAAGCCUUUGUAAAGCUCCUUCGACGAGUCGAGUAGUUUGGGAAUGCUGCUCAAAAUGGGAGGUAUAUUUCUUCUAAAGCUAAAUACCGGCCAGAGACCGAUAGCGCACAAGUAGAGUGAUCGAAAGAUGAAAAGCACUUUGAAAAGAGGGUUAAACAGCACGUGAAAUUGUUAAAAGGGAAGCGCUUGUGACCAGACUUGCGUCCGGUGAAUCACCCAGCUCUCGCGGCUGGGGCACUUCGCCGGCUCAGGCCAGCAUCAGCUCGCUGUCGGGGACAAAAGCUUCAGGAACGUAGCUCUCUUCGGGGAGUGUUAUAGCCUGUUGCAUAAUACCCUUCGGCGGGCUGA